rnacentral:rRNA from 1 species
AUGGGGUGUUUCAGCACGGCCUGCUUCUCUGUAGUGGUAGUGUUCUUUGAUCAAUCUUCAAUUCUUUUCUUUUUGCUGCCACUUCAAGCCAGGCAUUCAUCAAUCCAGCCCCGUAUCAGCAACAGCUGCUCAACCGUACGCACCGUACGUGUGUGCUCGGAGACAGAGAGCUCGACUAGGGACACGUAUAUGGCGACGAUGGUGAGGGCGGUGGUGCUGGCCGUGCUGCUGGUCCAGUGCUGCAACGUGGUCCUGGCGGCGAGGCUGCUCGAGGGAGACGGCGGCUGGCUGCACGGCGACGUUGGCGCCGCCGGGGCGCUUAUCAUGCAGACCCUGGCCGGCCACUCCCCCGGAGCAGGAGCACCCAACCCCUGCACCCACGACCCCGUCAACAACAACCCGCCUGGCGCGCGAUAUUCAGUUACCAACGGCGCGCGAGAUGUCAAAGAGAUGACCUUGAACGAUCGGCAAAUGCUGGCCUAUCGAAGUGCAACAAAUGGACCUGAACAACGAGCUCAAAGUGGAAGCAAAGUCCUCGGCAUGCCGUGGAAAUCUUUCUGCACAGGUUGA